CAUCUUUAAGACGGAGACACUGGCUACCGGUUUUCUCCUGCGAGCACUUAUUUUCCUUCUCUCCUACUCACACUUCAACUUAAUGCCAUAGUUUAUUUUGCAUUACUUUUUGUCAUCAUGGUUUAGUGGGGCCUCUCAGAAUGAACAUCUAUUGUUCAUGUGAGCGAAUCUCAUUUUAGCUUUUGACUGUAGCACAUAAGCAUUAAGUGACACACAGUCCCGCCAAGAAGUGAGCUCAGCGAGGCUGAGCUCCCCCUGGAUCACUGUGUGAACACGGAGUCCAGAAGACAUCCUCACGUCAGCUUUCUUAAAAUGCUCAGGAAGGCGCUGGGGUAGCAUUUGGUGUCCCAGAUGGAAGCUGUGCCUUCACGUAUCCCAACGAUCCUGCCAAGUACUGCAAGACGGAAGAAGAAAUAAACAGAUGAAUCUUGCUUCUUCUCACAUUUCAGAACUACUACUGCCAAGGAAGGGGGUGAGGCACGAGGUGAGCCGCGGUAUCUCCGCGCGUGCGUGAGACCGAGUGCCCUGUGUCAGCGGAGAGAAAGCAAGACCCAGACAGAGCCCCCAACCCCACAUACAGACACAAAAUAGAAUCAUCCAGUUGUGCGGACCGGAAACUACAGCUCUUUUCAUCUGAUUACGGCGACCAAACACCACAACCCGUGUGCUUCCCUUUAGCAUAGACACUGUUUUUUACUAAACAAGGAAACUUGAAAACCUAAUGAUUGUAUUAUUCUCCUCCGUGGAGGACUUAGUCACUGGGAAACAAAGGGUUUUGAAACACGGAGUUUUUCGCAUCAAGAGAAGAACGUGCCCCAAACUGUGUCUCAGGCACUGGCGAGCAUUCGCGGGGACUGGCGUGCUUUCCCAUCCUGUGUUUUCUGUUUUUGCUGUUUGGGUGCCAGUGGAGGUGGAGGCGGGGACAGGGCAACGGGCAGGCUGUGGGGCCUGGGGGUCCGCAGCCACGAUGGGCACGGUCCCUCAGUCACUUGAGGGUCUCAGCUUCCUCCCUGGGGGGCGGUGAGAUGAGCCGCUCCCUCGUGGUCUGGGGGUAUAUGCGGGGUCUGGUCGGCGCAGCCCGAUGGCACUGAGUGACCCUAGUGAAAUGAAGCUGCCCAAGGAAGGGGAUCCCAGAGGAAGUUCGGCUCAGGUCACCUCGUCUCCUCGCGUCUCUGCUCGGCUCAGACCAAACAUGCCCCGAUAGCCCCAGUGUUCACCGACCUCCCUUUAAGGCUCUGGGUGUGUCAAGUAGGAAACGUCUUCCUGGAGAGUGUUCCCAAUGGUGCGGUGUGACUGACCCGUCAGUGGUGGAGUUUUGUCCCCUUGAAGUACUUCCUGAUGUCGCCGAGUUUGUGAGAUGCGCUCUCACACCCACUUGCGCGUUGAGCAUAGUGGGCAGAUUGCAAAAAGGUGUCAUCUGCCGAGUGCCCAGGCUCCCUGGGAAACCGAGACUGUGUUGUACCCUGGCUGCUGGGAACGUGCCCUCAGCCUGGGAAGACUCAGCACAGUGUGCCUGGGCAUUCUGACCUUGUCAGGGUCCAGGACCGUCAGGAAGCCAUGUCCCCCCACCUGGCCCAGGGCAUGCGCUCCCCUCCUGGACCCUCACCCCUCCUUUCGGCACUUACCGCAGGCAUCGCCAUAUGAAAGUGGCGUCUGUUAUAUGCCUGAAAACAUCAUGCUCCUUAGAGACCCUCUGGGAAGAGAAACGUCUUCCAAAUUUGGUUCCUGAUUUCGAGGGGCUUGCAGAACCUUUUUCUCUGGUCACGUCACACGCAGCUGGCAGAGCACCUUUGGGCUCUGUGUUUCAUGACAAUACCACGCAACACCAUGAGGAGCAGUUAACCUCAUCCGUCAAGAAUUGGUACCUUAUAAUGAUCUCUCUCAGGUCCUAUAAUAGCCCAAGAAACGGAUUUAUCCUAUUUCUUAAACUUUAAACCUGCUGCGACCCAAUUUGUCAAAGGCUGAUUUGUGCGAGCUGGUACAAAGAGGAGAAAAAUUUCUUGAACCCUACAAGCGGAACUGAGCACAAACUCUGGAACGUUCAUGCAUGACCAUUUAAGGUAUCAGUUGUAAGCCCAGGAAGGCUGAGCUUAUUAUACCCACCGGGACAGCAGCUUUGAGGUUUGUGGGUGCUUGUGCCAAAGCCGGCCUCCCCUCCAAGGCACUGCUUUCUCAGGGCCACGCACCCCAGACCCGGCAAGGCUUGGGGACAGCGCCGGUUCUAGAACCCGCAGAAGCAGUAAGACAGGAAGCUUGCUAAGUGGAGGUCCAGCUUAGUGCCCUGGGGACACAGAGCAGGAGACAGUGACCUCCAGGACAGCUGGCUGGGGAGCUUGACGGGCACUGACAUUGGCUGUGGUCCAAUGUUACCCUGUGGGUGGUAAGGAAUGUACCAGAGGCAGAAAAGAUGGGGGAAAAGAGACAUUUUGGCAUAGGCUGACUACUGAGAAGAUGCUUUUAUUUUAUUUAUUUACUUUUUGGGGAUAAAGUUAUUUAAUGUCAUUUUUAAGUUCAGGGACUUUUAGAGAAAUGGAAUUUAUAUCAUUUUCUGACCCUUGCAGAUUCCAUACAGAAAAUACAAUAUAAGUCUGACAGGCAAAGAGGUGAUCUCAGAAAGAAGAAAACCGGAAAUAGAAAAACAAACAAAACAUUUACUUCACAGUGAAAAAUACAUUGUGAACUGAUUGAACCGUGUUACGCAGCUCUGCCUCCUACAGCAUGAGCAAAAGAGGGACGGAGGACGUUACGUUGGCUGCCUCCCAGAUAUCUAGGAAGUACUCUGAAACUUAUAAAAGACAUAAGGUUGUUGCCACAUCACCAAAGUUAGACAUUUUCUGGGCAUAAUGUAGACGAGAACGCGUUCUGUGUGUUGUUGAAGUUGGUACCACUUUGGCAAUCGUGCUGAUCCCUUUGGAAGGUCUCGCUGAGCACGUAAUUCUCCUGGUCUUUCCCCAAACUGGAGGGUGAAUGGCUUCCUGAUGGUGUCUGACCGUUAUGGGAGCAUCUCCUGUCGUGUCAGGAAACCUACCCCCCCAGUCUGAGGAAACUGUCCACAGCAGCACUGAGGAUGUCUGUGUGAAAUGCCCGUUACAAAGCCAAUGGACAGCAGGUCCUAGCAGAGGUGCUGGAAGGCUUCCGAAGCCACGGCUGCACAGUUAAUGAUGUUCCCAAAGUGCUGAGUACAGAGGACUUCCCAUCCGAGAUGUGAACGGUGGCAUGUUAAGAGAAAAAAAAAAAAGGAAAGAAAAAUACCCAAAGUGCUCAAAGUGUGCAGCUCAGCAAAAUCUACACACAGCACAUGUACUCUCAAGGUCAGUUAUAAUUUAUCUGACUUUAAGAAUAAAUUGAGGCCUUUGACGAAACACAUGUCCAAAGAACAAAAAAUGUGCAUCUGUUUGCACAAACGGCGGCUUCCUCCCUAGCUGAGAAGCGGGGGCUGACGAGCUGUGCGUGUCCAAGAGCUGGCUGGGCUCCAACGCGAACCCUUGAACUGUUCAACAAUCCUGCGAGCUCGUGCCCUGCCAGGAAGCCAUUCUGACCCCAGCGUUCGGUAGGAAAGACCCAGGAUUCCGUCAGUUCACAAAUCUCAUUUCCCUCAGUGCACGCAGUAAGGUUUCACCAGUUCCGGGUGACCACGCAGGCAGGGAAGAGACCCACUCACCUCCAGCGGCAAAGCCCCUUCGUACUGGGCUCCAGGGGUUGCUGUGUUCAGGGCAGCUCCGUCCGCGCAUGCUUGGAUACUUGCGCAGCCUGCCGGACCGGGGCUGAAGGAGGACUGACCACGGCCACACUGUCCCCUCCUUGCCCACAGUCCACACGCUUGCUGCCCUCCUUGUGCCGUCCAAACACAGAGGGUCUGGUUGUGUCGCUGUCUUUCUCUGGUCCGAUUGCUGGUUUGACUGACCUUCAAGUGGAAGCUGCUGUUCCGUGAGUCAGAGGUGCUUUACCCCUCAGAGACUCAGGAGGUGACGCAGGGUGCCUGCCACUCUUCUUCUCAGAAGGACGGAGCAAGGGGAUGCCACAGUGGCCGUGACAUCUCUCUCGCUAGCAUACUGUGGGUCUUUGCAAGCUCUGCUGCCCUUGGAUCCAGAUAGGGGCUACCUAGACCUCUGCCCUGACCCUCUCCGGCUGGGCUUCCGUCAGAGUUAAAGGGAUGUACCCAUCAGGGUCCUCACAUUCUCUGGUGAUUGCUCUUUGCGUAGAGAGUCUAGGGCUUCUUCCCCAGGUCCUUGUCACUUCACCAGUUUGUACCCAAAAGACACCUGUUUAUAGGGAUCAACAGGUGCAUAGAACUUUGAUCAGGGGUGGAUAUCAACAUGGGUGUGUGAUGCCACUUGCAGGGUAGGAGGUGGGAAGGUCAGGGUGUUAGAUGAGGCCAGGACCCUGGUUUCCUCGUAACCCAUGUUCACACUGGAGGCAGAGCUCUGAGAAGAAGGGUGGGUCUCCGGAAGAACCAGACCCCCUGGAUAUUAUGAAAGUGUAUUUGCAGAGAGUGGGCUUCAGAAACAUCCCACUUUCCUGCUAGUUGGCUUGAUUUUUAACUUUAAAACAUCUAGUGGUAUGAUCUGUGACGUCCACUUCUGCUCUUGCUCUGACUUUGCUAGUCAUGCAAAACACGCAGAAAAUUGAUUUCCUGAAGCAGAUCUGUAGUGUAUUCUGAGCUCUUGACAAGUGCAAAGGAAUUAAUGGCCUCUAAGCUUUGCGCCAAGUGAGAAGAGCUAGGAUUUAGUGUUCAUUCCCCUGCUACAGGGAGCAGACCCAACUGCUGGUAAUGGAAUAAUGUCAAAUCAGGCAGGUAAGAUUUAGUAACCUGGAAAGGAUGACCACAUGAUAGGUGGGAUUCCAGGAAACACUUAGCAUCAGGAACGUCUAAAAGGGUUUCUGGAUGGACAAUCUGGGGUUUGGGACAUGGGCAAUCUAGGGGGAAUCAUAACUGGCCAGGAGAUGUCAGGACCUCAGUCCCAGAUUUCCCAGGUAGGUGAUGACAGAGAAGUCACAAGAGCUUUGAGGGAUCCUGAAGGCAUUUGUGGAAGGAGUCCAAGUGUAGGCAAUUAAUGGUGGGACUCACGUGAAGAACCUGGUGGUCGUGGUGGUGUGUGAGGAACCUGAGAACAAAGCUAUGACUCAUCUACAUUGCCUGGGGCCACAAAACACAAGAGAUGACCAAGAAAGAAGAUUCCCUGAGUAUGGCUCCUGGGUUUCUCAUCCCAUCCAGACUGGAAUGGCCCCAGACCCUGGGCAUGUACCUGGGCGGGAUUUAGACUUACUAUGGAGAGAGGAGCACUGUUUGAACAGGAAUAGCGACAUGAGGACGACGAGGAAGAUGAUGGAGAUGAUGAGAAAGAUAAUGAUAAAGAGGACGAGGAGGAGGAGGAAGGGGAUGAGGAGGAGGAUGGUGAGGUGGAGGAGGGACAGGAGGGGGAUGGCAGAGACAGUGUAUCUCCUGGGAUGAAGACUACAAGGAUGUCUGUCCCUCGGGUUGGGCCUGUGGUCCUCUCCCCCUGGGGGGUGAUGGAGAACGGAAGAGACAUGGGUCCUGGAAGUGAAGAAGCGGGGUGGCUGCUUCCGUUCAGCCCGGGCCAGAGGGACAGCCUGAUUUAGGGGACGCUAUUUCCCUGGAGCAGCGGGGGCUGGUGGAUGCUGCCCUUGGACACGAGGUGGGAUCUGGGCAUUAUGCUGGGCAAAGUUGGUCAUGUAGGACCCUAUCCAGCAACUGAUUUCCUAUAACUUUUAUUGUCCAACCAUCAGUACUUUAUUUAAAAAGAAAAAAAAAAAAAAAACACCUGGCAAUGUCUACACAUUCUGACACAUCAACAGAUACCAGAAAUCACCAGGCUUGGAAGUAAUUAGGUUAGUGUAUGUGCUCUGAGCAAUUAAGAUUCUCUCAGGAGGGACGAGCCACACUUGAUCACAUUAUAGUUAACCUUUUCUGGUUUCAUUUAUCAAGCCAGCUUGUCAGACAGAUGGGCUUGCCUGGCUUUAACCUUGCUCCGUCUUACAGUCUCAAGGAGAAUUUUUGUACAUUUAUUUUGCUGAUAAGGGUUUCCCCUCCCCCCAUAGUUUAUUUACUCACUUUCAUCUUGAAUUUAAAUUGCUUCCCUCCACCAAAGGGGCAUUUCCAUAAAACUUAUACUUACCACAUGCGGAGGUUGUGCUGAUCUGGCCGGAAGUAUGACUAGGAAGUGUUGUCCAUCAAAUUCAAGACACGAGGAAAACCAGAUUAGUUUUGGGCUCUGUGUGGAUUAAGGACGUUUUCUCCGAUGUAGCUGGGGACUGACGUGCAGCUGGUCCCCGCACCAUGGUUUAGGUGGGGCUCUUAGGAGCUGCCGUCUCUCCACUCCUGCGUGUUUUGAGAAACAUUAACCCCAUCCCCUCCCCCGCACGGGAGGCACGUGCACGGUCCCCCUGGAACCUGGCUCGCAGCCUCUCACCCCUGCCCAGUUGCCUCUUCUGAAGCAGGAGGCAGCGGGGAGGGUGGGAUGGAUUCGCUCCUUUGUGCCCACACAACUCAACGAGGAAGGGCAACGUUUCCCAGAUAAAGAAACACUUGUAGAGGCCGGUAUGGCUGGUGGGACACUGCAGCUCCUCCCAUGCAGAGCCCUUCCCUCCUCUCCCUCCCAGGCCGUCCCCAGGACCGCCAUCAGGGCACAGCGCCGUCCACCUGCUGCUGUGAGAGCAGAGUCCACGGGAUGCUCUGUUGAUCUCGUCCUGCCCCUCAUAGGCCUUUUCUUUUCUUCUUGUUCUUUUCUUUGUCUCAUCUUUCCUUUUUAUGUGUGUGUGUGUGUGUGUGUGUUUUGUGCAUUUCUUAGCACUCGACUCUAUUUCUGCAAAAUCCAAGCAAACAGCAAACACACACAGAGCUCCCUCGCGUAGCGCCUGAGAGGGGCCGUCAAGCCAAUGACAUGAAAUACCGACCGGACCUCCUCCUCCUUCUCCAGACAAAUAAUAAUAAUACAUACAAAUUAGCCCUUUCAUCAAGCCGCUUGUUUGGAGACCCCGAGGAUGAAUCACGGGCGUUCCCAUAUUAGCCCAACGUACGAGCUGCGGGCGGCCCCGCUCUCCUGUACAGACGAAUGAAUAAUGCAAGUGCCUUUUUUAUGUUUCACUGUACAUUCGUGGAGAUUCUAAACGCUGCCAGUAUGUCUCUGCAAAUUAAUGCUGAAUUAAAAAACAGAACGGAAUGAUUAAAGUGCCAUUAAAAUGAUCUAUAAAUCUUUCAUUCUAAGAAAGGGCAGCCCACAUAUUACAUUAUCUGCACAAUCUAAGUGGGAAUAAUUAGUCUCACUCCAAUUAAACCUUGAGUUAUGUGUAUGGGGUAGAUGCAGUCUGAUAUCUCGGUGUUUUUUAAAGGACCGUAAAAGGCUAGAAGAGUCACAGAACCGAAGCUUCGCCGCAGAACAUGACUCUGUUUAGAGGUCGUUAGAUCUGAAAGACGUAGCAGCGGCUGGUGGGCUCCUGAAAGGCCGCUCUAUGACUCACAGUAGCUAAACAUGGCAGUUUGGGAUCCUGAUUUCUGGCUCAGAGCGUGGCCAUUCAGGGCAGCUGAAGGUUCCCGCUGCAGAGGGAGCAGCCUGAGUUCUCCGACAGCAGGGAUUCUGCUGCUUGUUCAUGGUUUUCCCCGUGCUGGUCAUGGGAGGUGGAGUGACCCCUGCACAGAGUCUCUGCAGGUCUUGGGAGGUUCCAGAUUCGUGGAGAACCAGAGCUCACUGGGGACAUCCCUCAUUUUCCCAGGUGUCCUGCGGAGAUGGCUCUAGUGCGGAAAGCAGGUGUUCUGCUCAAGGCAGGCAAGCGGGAUGGCAGGGUGGGGCAAGGGGCCCCUGGAGACCAAAGGGGCUGGAAUCCACAUGUUGUCACCACCUGUGGACCCUUUGCUUCCUAACUCCCUGUUUCUCAACAAACGGGAGUUCCUUUUCUUCGCUCUGGUUUGUUCUCUGUCAAAGGUGUUACCCUGGAUUCACAGCAGGAGGCCUAGAGUGCCGCAGUCCCUGGGGGCGCCCGCCAGCCCCGGGAGCACUCCCCAGUCUGUCCCCCACCCCCACCUGUCAGGCAGACACACUGGUCUGGGCACUGUCCUCUGUAAAAGGUAAGCACUGGAUUCUGAGGGCGGUUUGCUCUCAUAAAACCAGACCCUGUCUCCCUGGGGCCAUCUGUGAUGCCCUGACGCUGU